rnacentral:lncRNA from 1 species
AGGUGUAUAUGGAUGGUGAUAAAGAAUUUGUAAGUUGAUGUCGAUAAAUAAAUAAAUUGUAAGUUAACAGUCUGACACACAAAACAAUUCUGUACAAAUAUAUGAAUGUCAAACUGUUACACACCUAACGGCUAACAGUAUGUCUGAUUUUAAUUCGAACCUCCGCCAUUAACUCUGGCCUCUCACCAUUGGCUUAAAUAUCAUUUCAUCAUGUCUAGAAUACUCAUGUCAUAAA